rnacentral:rRNA from 1 species
GAUGAACGCUGGCGGCGUGCCUAAUACAUGCAAGUCGAGCGAACAGACGAGGAGCUUGCUCCUUUGACGUUAGCGGCGGACGGGUGAGUAACACGUGGGUAACCUACCUAUAAGACUGGGAUAACUUCGGGAAACCGGAGCUAAUACCGGAUAAUAUUUCGAACCGCAUGGUUCGAUAGUGAAAGAUGGCUUUGCUAUCACUUAUAGAUGGACCUGCGCCGUAUUAGCUAGUUGGUAAGGUAACGGCUUACCAAGGCAACGAUACGUAGCCGACCUGAGAGGGUGAUCGGCCACACUGGAACUGAGACACGGUCCAGACUCCUACGGGAGGCAGCAGUAGGGAAUCUUCCGCAAUGGGCGAAAGCCUGACGGAGCAACGCCGCGUGAGUGAUGAAGGUCUUCGGAUCGUAAAACUCUGUUAUUAGGGAAGAACAAACGUGUAAGUAACUGUGCACGUCUUGACGGUACCUAAUCAGAAAGCCACGGCUAACUACGUGCCAGCAGCCGCGGUAAUACGUAGGUGGCAAGCGUUAUCCGGAAUUAUUGGGCGUAAAGCGCGCGUAGGCGGUUUUUUAAGUCUGAUGUGAAAGCCCACGGCUCAACCGUGGAGGGUCAUUGGAAACUGGAAAACUUGAGUGCAGAAGAGGAAAGUGGAAUUCCAUGUGUAGCGGUGAAAUGCGCAGAGAUAUGGAGGAACACCAGUGGCGAAGGCGACUUUCUGGUCUGUAACUGACGCUGAUGUGCGAAAGCGUGGGGAUCAAACAGGAUUAGAUACCCUGGUAGUCCACGCCGUAAACGAUGAGUGCUAAGUGUUAGGGGGUUUCCGCCCCUUAGUGCUGCAGCUAACGCAUUAAGCACUCCGCCUGGGGAGUACGACCGCAAGGUUGAAACUCAAAGGAAUUGACGGGGACCCGCACAAGCGGUGGAGCAUGUGGUUUAAUUCGAAGCAACGCGAAGAACCUUACCAAAUCUUGACAUCCUUUGACCCUUCUAGAGAUAGAAGUUUCCCCUUCGGGGGACAAAGUGACAGGUGGUGCAUGGUUGUCGUCAGCUCGUGUCGUGAGAUGUUGGGUUAAGUCCCGCAACGAGCGCAACCCUUAAGCUUAGUUGCCAUCAUUAAGUUGGGCACUCUAAGUUGACUGCCGGUGACAAACCGGAGGAAGGUGGGGAUGACGUCAAAUCAUCAUGCCCCUUAUGAUUUGGGCUACACACGUGCUACAAUGGACAAUACAAAGGGCAGCGAAACCGCGAGGUCAAGCAAAUCCCAUAAAGUUGUUCUCAGUUCGGAUUGUAGUCUGCAACUCGACUACAUGAAGCUGGAAUCGCUAGUAAUCGUAGAUCAGCAUGCUACGGUGAAUACGUUCCCGGGUCUUGUACACACCGCCCGUCACACCACGAGAGUUUGUAACACCCGAAGCCGGUGGAGUAGCCAUUUGGAGCUAGCCGUCGAAGGUGGGACAAAUGAUUUGGGGUGAAGUCGUAACAAGGUAGCCGUAUCGGAAGG